UACGUAGGGUGCGAGCGUUAAUCGGAAUUACUGGGCGUAAAGCGUGCGCAGGCGGUUUUGCAAGUCAGAUGUGAAAGCCCCGGGCUCAACCUGGGAAUUGCAUUUGAAACUACAAGGCUAGAGUGUGUCAGAGGGGGGUAGAAUUCCACGUGUAGCAGUGAAAUGCGUAGAGAUGUGGAGGAAUACCGAUGGCGAAGGCAGCCCCCUGGGCCAACACUGACGCUCAUGCACGAAAGCGUGGGGAGCAAACAGG
rnacentral:rRNA from 1 species